rnacentral:rRNA from 1 species
AGUGAACGCUGGCGGUAGGCCUAACACAUGCAAGUCGAACGGCAGCACAGUAAGAGCUUGCUCUUACGGGUGGCGAGUGGCGGACGGGUGAGGAAUACAUCGGGAUCUACUUUUUCGUGGGGGACAACGUAGGGAAACUUACGCUAAUACCGCAUACGACCUACGGGUGAAAGCAGGGGAUCUUCGGACCUUGCGCGAUUGAAUGAGCCGAUGUCGGAUUAGCUAGUUGGCGGGGUAAAGGCCCACCAAGGCGACGAUCCGUAGCUGGUCUGAGAGGAUGAUCAGCCACACUGGAACUGAGACACGGUCCAGACUCCUACGGGAGGCAGCAGUGGGGAAUAUUGGACAAUGGGCGCAAGCCUGAUCCAGCCAUACCGCGUGGGUGAAGAAGGCCUUCGGGUUGUAAAGCCCUUUUGUUGGGAAAGAAAAGCAGCAGGUUAAUACCCCGCUGUUCUGACGGUACCCAAAGAAUAAGCACCGGCUAACUUCGUG